rnacentral:lncRNA from 1 species
CAACAAGCAUAGGCAAGCCUAAGAUGGUUAUAUAUGGUGGCACUUGAAGGCAUGGGACUGAACAAGAAUCCGCUACAUCAGCCCAGAAAAAUAGUUUGCAUAUACUGAAUAACUAUCAAUCAUAUAAAAGGAAAUUUAAACCUAUUAAUCAAAUGAAUCUCCACAUCAUCUUGAAAAUGAUAAUUGAGACAUUUCCUUUCAAAUGCAGCUAAAAAACGAAAGGGAAGAGUAGAUAAAUAUAGCAAGUUCUUACAAAUCAAGUGUGGCAAAGCAAAUGAUUUGAUAUCAUACAGCUUGCACAAUCAACUAUGCAAGUAUAAGCUAUUCAUAGUCAUAGUGUUUAACCUUAAAAGAAAGUGCCAGUUGUUUUCUUCUGAUAACAUUUCUAGUUCAUAUUUCACCUAGUAUCACAAUACCACGUACCAAUCCCACCAAUAUUGAACAACUUGAAA